UACGGAGGGUCCGAGCGUUGUCCGGAAUUACUGGGCGUAAAGAGCUCGUAGGCGGUUUGUCGCGUUGUUCGGGAAAACUCACAGCUUAACUGUGGGCGUGCGGGCGAUACGGGCAGACUGGAGUACUGCAGGGGAGACUGGAAUUCCUGGUGUAGCGGUGGAAUGCGCAGAUAUCAGGAGGAACACCGGUGGCGAAGGCGGGUCUCUGGGCAGUAACUGACGCUGAGGAGCGAAAGCGUGGGGAGCGAACAGG
rnacentral:rRNA from 1 species